rnacentral:rRNA from 1 species
UACGUAGGGGGCAAGCGUUGUCCGGAAUCAUUGGGCGUAAAGAGCGUGUAGGCGGCCUGGUAAGUCCGCUGUGAAAGUCCAGGGCUCAACCCUGGAAUGCCGGUGGAAACUGUCAGGCUCGAGUCCGGAAGAGGCGAGUGGAAUCCUGGUGUAGCGGUGAAAUGCGCAGAUAUCAGGAGGAACACCGGUGGCGAAGGCGGGUCACUGGGACGGUAUUGACGCUGAGACGCGAAAGCGUGGGGAGCAAACAGG